rnacentral:lncRNA from 1 species
AUUUAGGCUCGCUCCGUGCUUACGCACUUCUCUUGUUCCGUGCUUACGCACUUCUCUCGUUCGCUGACACUUCGCUCGUUCCGUGCUGUAGCACUUCUCUCGCUUCCGGCAAAUGCAGAUAAAUCCCCCGAUCCGAUUCUCUUGGAAUCUCUUCAGUCUGCUAAAGCAGAGUUACACAAUCUGUUGGAUGCGGAGGAAAGACACUGAAGACAAAAAUCCCGCAUCAAAUGGAAGACCGAAGGGGACAGGAAUACUCGUUUCCUCCAAGCAACAGCUAGGUCGCGGAGCUAUGUUAAUAGUAUCAGCUCCAUCUCCAUUAAUGGGAUUUCCAUGCUGGACCCAGAUUACUUAAAGUAAGGAGCAGUCCAGCAUUUUUCUGCUUGUUUUAAACCAGCCCUAGUGUUAUUGGAUGAAUCGAUCUUCUAUUGCAUCUUACCACAAGGCACGGCCGAACAAAACAAGUCCCUUUGUGCCAUUCCUUCCUCUGAUGAAGUCAAAGAGUCGGUUUUUUCUUUGAAGAGGCAUAGCAGCCCGGGUCCCGAUGGCUUUUCGGGAGCUUUC